ensembl:lncRNA
UUAAAUGGGGGAUUUGCGAAGAGAAAAUGCGUGAUUUUGCUGAAAUGGGGUAUUUGCGAAGAGAAAACGCGUGAUUUUUGCUUAAAUGGGGGAUUUGCAAAGAGAAAAUGCGUGAUUUUCGCUUAAAUGCGGAAUUCUCGAAGACAAAACGCGUGAUUUUCAUGUUCAAUGGGGGAUUCUCGAGGAGAAAACACGUGAUUUUCGCUUCAAUGGGGGAUUCUCACAGAGAAAACUCGUGAUUUUCACUUAAAUGGGGAUUCUCGAAGAGAAAACACAUAAUUUUCGCUUAAAUGGGGGAUUUGAGAAGAAAAAAUGAGUGAUUUUGGGGUUAAAUGGGGGAUUCUCGAAGAGAAAACGCGUGAUUUUUGCUAAAAUGGGGAAUUCUCGAAGGGAAAACGCGUGAUUUUCUCUUAAAUUGGGGAUUCUCGGAGAGAAAACGUAUGAUUUUCGGGUUAAAUGGUGGAUUCUCGAAGAGAAAACGCGUGAUUUUCACUUAAAUGGGGGAUUUGCGAAGAGAAAACGCGUGAUUUUUGCUUAAAUGGGGGAUUCUCGAAGAGAAAACGCGUGAUUUUCGCUUAAAUGGGGGACUUGUGAAGAGAAAACACGUGAUUUUCACUUAAAUGGGGGAUUCACGAAGAGAAAACGCGUGAUUUUCUCUUAAAUUGGGGAUUUGCGAAGAGAAAAUGCGUGAUUUUCAAGUUAAAUGCUUGCUUAUCGAAGAGAAAAUGCGUGAUUUUCGUGUUAAAUGGGGUUUCACGGGGAGAAAAAGUGUUAUUUUCGCUGAAAUGGGGGAUUUGCAAAGAGAAAACGCGUGAUUUUUGGCUUAAAUGGGGGAUUCACAAAGAGAAAACGCGUGAUUUUCGCUUAAAUGGGGGAUUCUUGAAGAGAAAACGCGUGAUUUUUGGGUUAAAUGGGGGAUUUGCGAAGAGAAAACACGUGGUUUUUGCUAAAAUGGGGGAUUUGCAAAGAGAAAACACGUGAUUUUUGGUUAAAUGGAAGAUAUGCGAAGAGAAAAUGUGUGAUUUUUGCUUAAAUGGGGGAUUUGCGAAGAGAAAAUGCGUGAUUUUUGCUGAAAUGGGGUAUUUGCGAAGAGAAAACGCGUGAUUUUUUUAUUAAAUGGGGGAUUCUUGAAGAGAAAAUGCGUGAUUUUUGCUUAAAUAGGGGAUUCUCGAAGAGAAAACGCGUGAUUUUUGGUUAAAUGGGGGAUUCUCGAAGAGAAAAUGCGUGAUUUUUGGUUAAAUGGGGGAUUCUUGAAGAGAAAAAGCGUGAUUUUCGGGUUAAAUGGGGGAUUUGAGAAGAGAAAACGCGAGAUUUUCGGGUUAAAUGGGAAAUUCUCGAAGAGAAAAUGCGUG